rnacentral:rRNA from 1 species
UACGUAGGGGGCAAGCGUUGUCCGGAUUCAUUGGGCGUAAAGAGCGUGUAGGCGGCCAGGUAGGUCGGUUGUGAAAACUGGAGGCUCAACCUUCAGAGGUCGACCGAAACCAUCUGGCUAGAGUCCGGGAGAGGAGAGUGGAAUUCCUGGUGUAGCGGUGAAAUGCGUAGAGAUCGGGAGGAACACCAGUGGCGAAGGCGGCUCGCUGGGCCGGACCUGACGCUGGAGACGCGAAGGCGUGGGGAGCGAACGGGG